UAAAACAUAGCGUUAAUGCAUCAGAUCCCAUUAGAACUUCGUAGUUAAGCGCUCUCAUGCUAGAGUAGUAAUGGGAUGGGUGACCACCCAAGAAUUCCUAAUGUUUUAC
rnacentral:rRNA from 1 species